GCACUCCUUAUUCUAUCUAUGCUGAAAUGCUCACCAUUCAUCCCUCCUCCUGCAUUUUGUUCCUGCUGUUCUCUCUACAAGGUGUGCUCCCACUGCCCCUCCACUGAAACAUUUGAAAUGAAAAUAAAGUGUCCUUCAAUCAACUAUGAGUGAAGAUAGAUUGACACAUCUCACUAUCCUGAUUCUAUCCACCAUGAAUAUGUGAAGAUCAGUUUGACAAAGCCAUUGACAAAUUUGAAGAAGUGAAGGCUCAAAGCCAGAAACUGCAAUGGGAUUAUUCAUCACCCUGGAAAAAUCAACAUGUGUCUUUUACUGCUGCGGAUUCUCUCUGACCAUAGAGAUAUUCACUCUGUGAAAAGAAAUGAAAAUAACCAUCAACGGAGGACAUGCUUAGAGAUCACAGUAUCAGCACCAUCUGUAACAGCAGACUGCAACCUAUGCUGGUCUAUGUACUAGCAUACAGUUAUUUAUAAAUGGAGGAGGUAGGAAGAAUUUUUAAGAUGAGGUAGUAAGAGAAUGUGAUGGGUGUGGUCUGGGAUGUGCAGUCCUUGGAUGUAUCCUUCCCAGCGGCAGGAACUGAUGACUCCUGAUGAUCCACAUGGACCUUCUCUUUGGUGAGCUGAUGACUUUUAGGCUGUUGGGAACCCGUGGUGCCCUCUAACAAUUGCAGACAUUUCUUGGUGUGCCUCAUAAACAUAUACUCUUCCUGUUAGAAGAUCUAUGUGGCCGUUGGGAAAAUCUUAAAGGUAGUGUAUUGCUUUAAACUUUAUCUAUUCACUACUGUUUCCUUCUCCUGCCAGUAAGAUCAUGUUUCUAAAUGCCCCAUGUUGUUUGCUUUUAGGCAAAGUGGCCUCUACUUCUUGUUUGGCUAAGGCAUCAAGGCAUCUUCUUAUGUGUUUAACAGUCAGAUUUAUGUAGGUGAGAAAGAGUUCAGAGGCCACUUUUAAUUCCAUAUUUUUUAGAGAUCUAUACCCUUAAACUUUGAUAGCGAACAUGAAAAAUAUCUCUCUACACAUACACAAG